rnacentral:rRNA from 1 species
UGCGUAGGUGGCAGAUCAAGUCUGGAGUAAAAGGUAUGGGCUCAACCCGUACUGGCUCUGGAAACUGAUCAGCUAGAGAACAGAAGAGGACGGCGGAACUCCAUGUGUAGCGGUAAAAUGCGUAGAUAUAUGGAAGAACACCGGUGGCGAAGGCGGCCGUCUGGUCUGGAUUCUGACACUGAGGCACGAAAGCGUGGGGAGCAAAUA